AACAUACUCCCUCCGUUCGAAAAUACUUGUCAUCAAAAUGGAUAAAAAGAGAUGUAUCUAGAACUAAAAUACGUCUAGAUGCAUCCUCUUUUAUCCAUUUUAAUGACAAGUAUUUUCGGACGGAGGGAGUAUUAA
rnacentral:pre_miRNA from 1 species